GACGAACGCUGGCGGCGUGCUUAACACAUGCAAGUCGAACGGAGUGGCGAACGGGUGAGUAACACGUGGGUGAUCUGCCUUGCACUUCGGGUUAAGCUUGGGAAACUGGGUCUAAUACCGGAUAGUGCAAGAUGAGCUCGCGGCCUAUCAGCUUGUUGGUGGGGUAAUGGCCUACCAAGGCGUCGACGGGUAGCCGGCCUGGGAGGGUGUACGGCCACAUUGGGACUGGGGUACGGACCAGACGCCAACGGGAGGCAGUGGGGGGGAGUAUUGCACAAGUGGGGGAAGCCUGAUGCAGCGGCGCCGCGUGGGUGAUGAAGUCCUUCGGGUUGUAAACGCCUUUCGACAGGGACGCGGUACCUGUAUAAGAAGCACCGGCUAACUACGUGCCAGCAGCCGCGGUAAUAC
rnacentral:rRNA from 1 species